UACGAAGGGGGCUAGCGUUGCUCGGAAUCACUGGGCGUAAAGGGUGCGUAGGCGGGUCUUUAAGUCAGGGGUGAAAUCCUGGAGCUCAACUCCAGAACUGCCUUUGAUACUGAGGAUCUUGAGUUCGGGAGAGGUGAGUGGAACUGCGAGUGUAGGGGUGAAAUUCGUAGAUAUUCGCAAGAACACCAGUGGCAAAGGCGGCUCACUGGCCCGAUACUGACGCUGAGGCACGAAAGCGUGGGGAGCAAACCGG
rnacentral:rRNA from 1 species